rnacentral:tmRNA from 1 species
CGCCUUUGUAAAGUUGUCCGCAAUGCUUAUAUUGAUUUUGCCGCCUCGGCGGCUACGGCGAUAAACGGCUUCGAAAUAAGCUCUUCGGACCCGGGGGCGGUACCCGGCGCCUCCACCAAAGCCCGCUUAGCGGCGAAGCGGGUUUCGGCGGGGGCGAAAUAGGUUCGACGGGGAGUGUAAAGGAUGUCCUUUCGCUCGGCAUGGUUCCGCCGUCAUCGGGCCGAUCUUAUAGUUGCCAAUGACAACUAUGCUCCGGUGGCCGUUGCCGCGUAAUGCGGUAAUAGUACCGAAAUUGAAGCCCUUGGGGGUUGCACUCUAAGGCGGGGUUCGGAGGCACCUGGCAACAGAAGCCUCCACU